rnacentral:rRNA from 1 species
CUAACACAUGCAAGUCGAACGGCAGCACAGUGUGUAGCAAUACACAUGGGUGGCGAGUGGCGGACGGGUGAGUAAGACGUAGGGAUCUGCCUUAAAGAGGGGGACAACCCGGGGAAACUCGGGCUAAUACCGCAUACUACUCUGAGGAGGAAAGGGUUGGCGAAAGCCAGUCGCUUUAAGAGGAACCUACGGCCGAUUAGCUAGUUGGUGGGGUAAAGGCCCACCAAGGCAGUGAUCGGUAGCUGAUCUGAGAGGAUGAUCAGCCACACUGGGACUGAGACACGGCCCAGACUCCUACGGGAGGCAGCAGUGGGGAAUAUUGGACAAUGGGGGCAACCCUGAUCCAGCGAUGCCGCGUGUGUGAAGAAGGCCUUCGGGUUGUAAAGCACUUUAGUUGGGGAAGAAGUAACGGGGUUGAACAGGCCCCGUUGUUGACGGUACCUAAAGAAUAAGCACCGGCUAACUCUGUGCCAGCAGCCGCGGUAAUACAGAGGGUGCGAGCGUUAAUCGGAGUUACUGGGCGUAAAGGGCGCGUAGGCGGUUGUUUAAGUGAGAUGUGAAAUCCCUGGGCUUAACCUGGGAAUUGCAUUUUAGACUAGAUGACUAGAGUACAGUAGAGGGUAGCGGAAUUUCCGGUGUAGCGGUGAAAUGCGUAGAGAUCGGAAGGAACAUCAGUGGCGAAGGCGGCUACCUGGACUGACACUGACGCUGAGGCGCGAGAGCGUGGGGAGCAAACAGGAUUAGAUACCCUGGUAGUCCACGCUGUAAACGAUGAGAACUAGAUGAUGGUUUGCGCGAGCGAAUUGGUAUCGAAGCUAACGCGAUAAGUUCUCCGCCUGGGGAGUACGGCCGCAAGGUUAAAACUUAAAUGAAUUGACGG